GACGAACGCUGGCGGCGUGCUUAACACAUGCAAGUCGAACGGAAAGGCCCUGCUUUUGUGGGGUUCUCGAGUGGCGAACGGGUGAGUAACACGUGAGUAACCUGCCCUUGACUUUGGGAUAACUUCAGGAAACUGGGGCUAAUACCGGAUAGGAGCUCCUGCUGCAUGGUGGGGGUUGGAAAGUUUCGGCGGUUGGGGAUGGACUCGCGGCUUAUCAGCUUGUUGGUGGGGUAGUGGCUUACCAAGGCUUUGACGGGUAGCCGGCCUGAGAGGGUGACCGGCCACAUUGGGACUGAGGUACGGACCAGACUCCUACGGGAGGCAGCAGUGGGGAAUAUUGCACAAUGAGCGGAAGCCUGAUGCAGCAACGCCGCGUGCGGGAUGACGGCCUUCGGGUUGUAAACCGCUUUCGCCUGUGACGAAGCGUGAGUGACGGUAAUGGGUAAAGAAGCACCGGCUAACUACGUG
rnacentral:rRNA from 1 species